GGGAUUUGAAUUCAGGAUGAGAAUACCAUAGCAUCCAAGAUGGCAGACCAAAAUGCUGAUUUUAUCAUGAAAGAAAGCUACAGAUCUUUAUCUGUUUUCUAAAAAAUUCCAAAAGGAUUAUUAACACUCAGAAUGCAGGGAACUCAUAAGUAAAUUUAAGAAAUUUUUUUUUUUUUUUUUCUGGUAGAGUAAAACUAAACUCAUCCAGUGGACGAGUUUUUGUGUUGUUCUGGUUGUUCCUAUGUUUUUUUUUUUUUUAGUUGUCACGGACAACCAGACAACUGCAAAUAUGGAAAUUGCAGGCAGACCACAAGCUCAGAAUAUGUUCUGAAAUAAGUACAAAUUGGGGUCAAAUCCCAACAGGACUCAUAACAAACCAAAUAACAUGGUAGAAAGGGUUUCCAGAAAAGUUAUAUGAUGAAGUCAAAGUAAACUAAAAUUUACAUUCGUAUCCUAAAAAUGUUGCUACUUGUUGUGGAAAUUCCCCCCAUUUGCCUGUGUAAGUAUCACAUAUGCUCAAAAGUUGAUCAUCUUUAAGGCAGUAAUCAGUUCAUAUCUUGCUAUUUACAUUAUUGAUCAGAAGUAAGUUACCACCAUCUCUCUAAAUGAGUCUUGAUUCUCUUGAGAUGCAUCUUGAUUCUUUUGAGUCUUUUGAUCUUGUUUAUGGUUUCGAUAGCAAGAAAAAAAAACAUUGUACGCUAAACAGUUAACCCCAUUACCAACCCUUAUAAGAAAAACUUUCCUCUACAUGUAGAUAGUCAAACCAGGCAGGCAAAAUCAUCCUCACAGCCGGUCAAUUUGCCUGGUGCCCGGCCCGUAAUGACACUCCCUGUAAAUUGUUGAUGUUAUCCUUCAAAGCGAAUAAUUAUUACAAAUCCCUGAAUGCAGGUACAGUUUUAGCUGCUCUUUAUAUCAAUAUUAUUCUUGUAUGGCUACAUGUAGCUCCCUGAGCAGGCAAGAUUUACCAAAUCCUACCCUGUGAUUGGCUAUCCCAGCGGGCAAGAUGGUGCUAUGUUACCAUGCUGGAUUAAGUACUGUGUCCCACAAGAAAAAUUUGUUUAUCCCAUAAUUCCUAUAUUGAUGAAGCUUGUUCGGGCAAUAUCGCUGAACACUGGCAUUUUUAUGGACCUUACAUGUAACUCUUUUGGUCCAAUUAAAUAACUUGGCUAAUAUCCAGCCAUCUUGACAUCACCCUUUGUCAAUUUCACUGUAGAAUAACCAAUGUGUACAGUAAUUGGACUGAGUCAAGCACAAUUUAGGGUGUAAUUGUGUCAGUAAUUUGAAAUCUAAUGAGACAGAUUACUAAUAAUACCGUCAAUAACAAAGUUCAAUAUUAAAAACGUCUUUAAAGGACUUUUAUUGAGAAAAACAACUCAGUAGUGUUUUCCAUAAGUUUUUAACACUGUAGGAAACAUUAAGAAGAAUUAAGCCAGUUAAGCAUGAAUGAGUGAUAUGUGAAUGGCGAUGGUGUCCAAUUACAAAAUUUAGUUGUGAUUGGAUACCUGCAAUUGGGGAACCAAAUGUUGAAAUGAACAAAGAAUUUUGUUGAUCAAUAUAAUUUCUGAAUUUUGAUUGGUCAAUGACACAUGCACAUUCAGGGUGCAGAGUACUUGUACAUGUACAAAACUUGUAUAUAUAGUCACUGACAGACUUCAAUUAUAAAUGUACAAUGAAUGUAAGUAAUGUAGUUUUAAUUAUUACUAGAAGAGUACCCUCUUACAUGUACAUUGUUUGUUUCCACAGAAUGCACACAUCAUCAAAUAGAAAGGAGCCUGGAUUUUCAACACAGGAUAAUAUGAUAUCAACAUGGAAACUGAUUGGUUAAGCACAAUAUUGUAUUUUCUCAUAGAAAUGAGGGUCCAGAUGAAGGUUUAGGUAUUGACACCAUCCUGAGAAUGGUCUCAUCUUAAAGCCUGCAGGCAGCAGGUUCUGAUUUUUGCCAGGUGAACAAUGCCUGACCAGAUUCAAAUCAAGGUCUGCAUUUUGCACUGUUCAAUGCCUUAACACCAUCAUGCUGCUGGUGGGAUGAGACAGUCUUAACACUAGUAGAUACAAAAUAGAGAAGCAACAAUGAAAGUACAGUAUGUGCUGAGACUCGAGAGGACAAAGAAUCAAUUGGGACAUUGAGUCCCUUGUAAGAUACAAAACAGAGAAGCAAGGAAAAGAGCUAUGUGCUGAGACUGAAGAGGAGAAAGAAUCAAAUUGAGACACUGGAUUCUUUAGCAGAUACAAAACAGAGAAGCAAGGAAAAGAGCUAUGUGCUGAGACUGAAGAGGAGAAAGAAUCAAAUUGAGACACUGGAUUCUUUAGCAGAUACAAAACCGAGAAAAAACAAAAGCUGUGCUGAGACUCAAGAGGAAAAAGAAUCAAACUGAGACAUUGGAUUCCUUAUUAGGUGAGGCGCAAUAUUUCGUAUUUUUCUUUUAAAAGGAAGAGAUUUUUUUUACUAUUGUACAUAAUAAUAGAGAUGUUAUUGUUUCACUGUCCAGAUUAUCUCAAGAAACCCUUGUUAUAUGCCUGACCAGAUACCCUAGCCCUUCAUGGUGUGGUCAAUACAAGCAUUCCUUAAGAAUACAAUGUCCGAAGUACUGUUGUUGAUGAAUAUUCAAACUGUGAGACGAAGGGCCUGAUUGGAUCAUUGACCAAUUGCUUUCCAGUUCAUGUAUCAAUGCUUCCUUAGCCAUUAAGUCUCAUGAGCGAUCAGCUUAAAGUUCUCCUGAUAAUCUCAAUCUAAUCACGAAGAAACAGUAAAGAGGAUUUAGAGAGUAACCUCAAAAAAGAAUUGUCUAGAUACCUCAAAAGCAGUAGGCAGAAUUUGUUUCUUGACUAAGGACUCUGAAUAAGGACUAAGCAGUGAGAAGGAAGGCUAUAUGCUGGAGGAUGUUGUCUUGAUUUAUAACUAAAUUCUAGACCAAACCCUGAAACAUUUACAGCAAAGAAAACCAGACAGCCCGGAAAUGAAGAUGUGAAGUCCUUGUUGAUUUCAUUUCAAGGGUGCCAAAGUAAACAAUGUACCUAAGAGUGUUUUUUGCCGUAAAAGGUAUAUGAAAAUACUGCAUAGAUUCAAUAUGAGAGCACAAACAUAGGGAUCUUAUCCAUAGAUUUUAAAGCUAGAACAACCUUGUAGAGCAUAAUAACAGUGUCACGUGAUAGUGCUGCAUGUGUUUUGAAAGUGCACGUGAAAUAACUUGCUUGGUUGCAAAAGUCAGUCUCGUCAUAUGCUAAAACUUUAGUGGAAGAGACAUACUUCAUAACUGUGUUAAAUCACGGAGUUAUUCAUUUAUAUUUCGCCAUGACCUUUUCGGAUUUCUACCGUUGUGUGAAUUUCCCUCUGGGAUCUCAGAUGCUCCUGGGAAAUGUUUUUGAAAUAGCGGUCAAAGUGAAAGUCGUUUUCAGUCGUAGUUUCAUACAAACCGUUCUGUCAAAACUAGCUAUAGCUGCCAGGUUGUCAGAUCAAAGGUGAACAAGAGAAAACCAUAAUUACCUGUAAAUUACUGUAAAAUCUAUCGUUCAGUUACAUAACUACAUUUAGUAUUGUAUUUGAACAACAGUUUUGAAUUUGGAAGCAGCUUUUCUUGUUAUUCGCUUGUCUAAAUAUUUUACUAUAUCUGUUUUUAUUUGGUAAUAACCGUCCUGCAAAUUACAUUACCUUUAUUUAAUAUUGUACAAAUGUGAAGCUACCUGAGAGCGUAUUAUUUUUUCAAAAAAUUCACUAGUUAUUUAAAUAUUUGCGGAUAUUAACCACGCAUAAAUUCUUCCUCAGAAAGAAGAUGCAAAUAUUUCCCGUUUUGUCUCGAACAUUUUUGCCGUGAGCUUUUUGUGUGUUUUUGGCGGUGAGCUUUUCGCCGGAAAAAGUUGCAAAUGAAAGUUAAUUUUAGAGUGCUAUAUUUUAGCCGGUGUUAUUUUCGUGUUGCUGUUUGUCCGCAUUUUAAGUUGUUCUUAAUAUCAUUAUGUAAACUUCCAGUAUUUCUAUGACGAUGAUAUAUCCAAACGAACAGCGCAUUCCCGAUGACAGAAUUAACUUGUAAACUUUAGUUGAGUAUACACUGUAUGUAUAUUUUGUUCUUUGGGUUUCAGUAUCGCCAUUGGUAAUUGGACGU
rnacentral:lncRNA from 1 species